AGAGAUGAAGUAUCCCGUACAUUUUAGUUACAUUAAAAAGGACUCAAACUAGAGCGUCUCUA
rnacentral:tRNA from 1 species